GUCUUUGUAAAUAGAAGUAGUGAGAUAGAGAGUGAGGCAAGAGUUUGGAGGAAGUAUCAGCCUAUUGGUGCUCUCUCACUAUGGUUUGUACCUUGGUGGAAUCAAGUUCUACUUGAGCUUGCUUUACAGAUUUCUCUAGUAACCAACUUCUAAUUCAAGUAAGUAUAAUGGUUAUAUUAUUCAUCAGGUUUGUGAAUCUUUUUGAGUGCUUCAAUCCUUAUAGCUCUUGGGUUAAAGUGAUAUUCAUAGUGUAAGCAUGGUGCUAAGACCUCGGUUACUCAUAGAUGCACAAUGCAUUCCGGAUUGGUGGUAUAUAUAUAGCAAGAGUGAUAGUCUCGUUGAGUCCUUUGUAGUCCACCUUACGUCUAUAGGCCCAGUAGAACACAGUUGUGGCAAAAUGCAUCCUAUGUUGGUGUCUUUCCCUAGUAAUGUUCUCAAUUAAGCAAUAGAAGGCACAACUUACCCAAGUUAGAAUUAGAGAACCUUAGUGAUCCCCUCUAUGCUCCUCUUUAUCUUAAGCCUUGUUGGUACUCCUAGUUAAGCUAGACUUAGUUAAAACUUGCACAUGUUUCCCUGAGUUCGAUAUUUUGAAUACUUUCGAGUGA
rnacentral:lncRNA from 1 species